rnacentral:lncRNA from 1 species
GAAAAAGUAAAAUAUAAAAUGACUAAUAAUUAAAAUCAUAACUUUAAUAACUUAAGUGUAGAAUAAGAUGGCAUUAUCUAAUAUUUAAUAAUUCAAUAUCAUGCCCAUAGCCUUAUCAAAAAGUAAGAAAUAUCAAAAACAGAAGAGCUUUGAGGAAAUCCUCUCACUGCACUUUUGAAUAGACAGUGUUACAGAACUCUAUCUCUAUAUACUUACACCAGUUUUUCCAGUCAUCCUUGUUUUAACACAAGGGUGCCUCUUAUUCAUGUUCUCAAAUUCAUUCAUCCUCAGAUAUUCAACUGCUUGUUCACUUCAGACUUUUCAUGGCUUCCUUUUUUUCACAUUUACUGUAUGCAUUCCUUAUAUAACAAAGGAUUUUAUAUGGAUACUAUUUCAUAAUGAAUCGAAGAACAACUCACCAAGGAAAAUCUGGCAAUUAAGAAUUUUUAGGAUUCAAUACAUCACUAAUACAUUUAUACAGAAUGGUUUUAAUUAAUAGGAUGUUCUUUGCUUUAAAUAUUCUGGAAUGAUAGAGAAUGCAAUUAUGGUUAUAAAAUCUUGAUAAUUAUCGUCACUGGAACAUAGAAAA